GAUGAACGCUGGCGGCGUGCCUAAUACAUGCAAGUCGAGCGAACAGACGAGGAGCUUGCUCCUCUGACGUUAGCGGCGGACGGGUGAGUAACACGUGGAUAACCUACCUAUAAGACUGGGAUAACUUCGGGAAACCGGAGCUAAUACCGGAUAAUAUAUUGAACCGCAUGGUUCAAUAGUGAAAGACGGUUUUGCUGUCACUUAUAGAUGGAUCCGCGCCGCAUUAGCUAGUUGGUAAGGUAACGGCUUACCAAGGCGACGAUGCGUAGCCGGCCUGAGAGGGUGAUCGGCCACACUGGAACUGAGACACGGUCCAGACUCCUACGGGAGGCAGCAGUAGGGAAUCUGCCGCAAUGGGCGAAAGCCUGACGGAGCAACGCCGCGUGAGUGAUGAAGGUCUUCGGAUCGUAAAACUCUGUUAUUAGGGAAGAACAAAUGUGUAAGUAACUAUGCACGUCUUGACGGUACCUAAUCAGAAAGCCACGGCUAACUACGUG
rnacentral:rRNA from 1 species